UAGUAUUAUGUAGUUGCUGUUGUUGUUGUUGCUGUUGUUAUUAAACCAAAUCAUUUUUUCACAAUCUUUUAAAACAGGCAGGAUAUUGGGCAGCACUAUAUUAUCCCCGUGAAUGAUACACACAUUGUAAACUGCCAGCUUUUCCACAAAAGCUGGAAAACAUUACUGUAAGAAGCACAUACAAGCAUUUUCGAAAAACUGGAAAACUGGUAGUGCAGCGAUGUUCCAUCAAACACAAGACCUGAGACUCAGGUUUAAUGAACUACCAAUAUAUAAAUGUGGCUGUUUUUAACACGUAAUUGAUGUGAUGAUCAUUUUUUUAUUCAUACAAUGGGCUCGGUCGAACGAGAAACCUUCACAAAUCAAAGAAGAGCCUCUCAAAGAGAACAGAAAACCCUUUUCGAAGAGGUAUUAGCUCUUAGCUGUUUAACUCACGCCGUGCAGCUAGCAAGCCGAAGCGGGAAUCAGUGCGACAAAAGUCGAGAUGCUAAAUCAUGAUUUGCAGCAAGAGGAGCUGGCAUUAUUUAUUAUAGUAGGAUACAAACGUUUACUCAUUUCAGGAGGGUGGGCUUCAGAUCUGGAGUUGGGAAUCACUCACAGAAAGAUGGAUCUGACAUCAGGAGAUGAUUUUUCACGGAGGACGUGUUUGUUGUGUGUGCACUUGGCCCUAAAUUUCCACAGGUCUGCGUGGGUCAGGCGAUGUCCAUUUUCAGGACUUGGGUUUCAGCCAUGGUUCUGCUAGUGUUCUUGGCUGAAAUUCGGGCAGGGAGAGCAGGCAUUGCAGUCAGACCCUCACGGCAAAGAAGAGGAGGCAAGAUUCUCAGAAAAGUCUGCAGGCGACAGAGGAGACGAGCGCCGUGAUUUCCGAGUGCUCAGAGAAUCAAAGGAGAAGGAAACAGGGGCCUGACAUCGACGGUGAUAAAAUCGAUUAUUCGCACGCAGAGUGCAGUGACCCUCAGACUCGCUGGACUUUGCGGUUCAGCUGAAAACAUGAAGCCAGUUGCGGCAGCUCCCAAGGGCCACGCCGGCUUGCAGACCGAGGCACCCACACAGCUCCGACACCAGACGGCCCUCGGACCUCUGCGUGCCACCGCACCACUAUCACAGGAAAAACGUGACGGAACGCCUAACAGGAAAAACGUGGACGGGCCCUCAUGCCGAGGGGAAGGGGGGGAGAACGAAAGCGAGACAAAAGGGGGGCAGAAGAAAAGGACGAGAGGAAGAGAAAAAACUCCCCAAGCAGAACCAGAUGGGGCAGUGUGGAGGACUGUUUGAUCUCCCCCGCUAAGGCCUGAUUGAUGUUGCACAUUUCAUUUCCUUGUCAGAGACAUGACAUAAUGUUUCAGUAACACUCUGCCUUUUUCCUCUUUCUUCUUUUUUUCCCUCCUCCAAUUAACCUCCCAAUUUCAGAAUAAAGGCGGGACGCCGACAACCAGAAGGUAUGACAACGAAAGCAAAGCGACUGUAAGCAUCCCAGAGCAGGAUGAGGCAGUGAAAGGGAUGCAGGGGGCUUCAAAUGCUUAAAGACUGAGGUUUGGGGCAAAGCUGCAUGCAGGAAGAUGAUGCGGGGAAGCAUAGUUAAGUCGUACACAUUGUCUUACGAAAUGCAAAGCACGUGUCCACGAAAGUGUGCGCAAGGUUACAAAUACAAAAAUACAGGCAUUACAGUAUGCAGAAAAAAUGUACAAGUGCAUGUGUAACACUGUCCAUCCUUUGGGCCCCUAUAGAUUCAGGCCCCCGUUUCUUGUUUCAUGAUAGCCGGCCCUUACGUGAAUCAUGCGGUAUUACACGCUUUUGUGUUCCUCUAGGAAGCCAGCCUUGUACAAUUACGACAGCCCAUAGAGAUUAAGACAAGGGAUCGUCCUCAUAACUACAGAAGGCAUCUUUGAUCUCAAAUUCGCUGGCGUUCUCCUUCAAGAGGAGGUCACUGUUUCUGAAAAGGAGGCGAAUUCAUCUUGUUCUUGGAGAGCUCCGGACCAGCAUGCAGCACAGCUUAGACUCACUCGCUGACUCAUCGGCUCGAAGGAUGAAUUCUUGUGCCGCUCAGAACUGUCUGUGUCUUCUUACGGUAUUUGAAACCGUGCAGCGUUUCAAAAGAGACCUUGAAAGCUGAUUUUUUUUCCCCUCCUCAAAUGGAACACAUUCCCAAACAGUCACAAAAUUAGCUUUCAAGGCUAAACCACAGUGUCUAAAUAUUAGAAAUAGUUUAGGGACGAAGGAGAAUGUCUAAAGGAUCUAAAUGUAAAGGAAAAUAAAUUAAUCUCACGAGACGCCUGAAGAGACGCAGGAUCAAUCAGUCGUGACAUUUGCACCGUGAAGACGCUAAGAGUCUUUAAUAUUGUGACGGUUAUCAGCACUUUUUUUAGGAGCAAAACUGCACAAUGUACCCAAGUUCGACUUCCAGUGCCAUAAUGCAGUGGGAAAACAAUGAAAGACUGAAGCCUGUGGCCAGGGCGUAGCUGGCAGCAGAGUGCCGGGCCGUUUGGCAGUUUGGCAAAGACCCCGGAGAGAUGCUGAGGAGCGCCGCUGCAGCCCAGGGUUCGAGGUGACAUCGAAGUGCCCCCCCGUCCUCCGUAGCCCACAUCCCCAAGGCGCUGGGGCACACUCCUCCAUCUGGCAUCUAUUUCCC